AGGACGAACGCUGGCGGCGUGCUUAACACAUGCAAGUCGAGCUGAAAGGCCCUUCGGGGUACUCGAGCGGCGAACGGGUGAGUAACACGUGAGUAAUCUGCCCUUAGCUCUGGGAUAGCUCCGGGAAACCGGGAUUAAUACCAGAUAUGACCACACUAGACAUCUGGUGUGGUGGAAAGGAUUCCGGCUAGGGAUGAGCUCGCGGCCUAUCAGCUUGUUGGUGGGGUAACGGCCUACCAAGGCGACGACGGGUAGCCGGCCUGAGAGGGCGACCGGCCACACUGGGACUGAGACACGGCCCAGACUCCUACGGGAGGCAGCAGUGGGGAAUAUUGCGCAAUGGGCGAAAGCCUGACGCAGCGACGCCGCGUGGGGGAUGAAGGCCUUCGGGUUGUAACCCUUUCAGCAGGGACGAAGCGAAAGUGACGGUACCUGCAGAAGAAGCGCCGGCUAACUACGUGCCAGCACCGC
rnacentral:rRNA from 1 species